UACGUAGGGUGCUAACGUUGUUCGGAAUUACUGGGCGUAAAGCGCGCGUAGGCGGCUUUUCAAGUCGAUUGUGAAAUCCCCGGGCUUAACCUGGGAACUGCAGUCGAGACUGUCUAGCUAGAGUAUGGGAGAGGGAAGUGGAAUUUCAGGUGUAGCGGUGAAAUGCGUAGAUAUCUGAAGGAACAUCAGUGGCGAAAGCGACUUCCUGGACCAAUACUGACGCUCAUGUGCGAAAGCGUGGGGAGCAAACAG
rnacentral:rRNA from 1 species